GGCAGCAGGCCCAAGAGCCAAGGCCCCAGGGAAGCAGCAAAAAAAUUGGAAGGAAACCCCAAAAACAGCAGAACCUCCCACCGGCAUCCUUAGCCUGAUCUGGCCCCUCCACUGGCCUCUGAGUGUGGAGUGAGACAGAGCUGAAAUGGAGAAGCCGGGCUUGGCUGGAAGCGAGGAGGGUGGAAGUGAAGUCCGUCACCGCUGGUGGGAGUGUCGGCCACAACAGUAUGUCCCCUCCUGCAUAGCUUCCUGAACUGUGACCUUGCCACUCUUCCAUCACGAGGUGGUGUCUGUUUCACCACCUCCUGAAGCUGGGCAGGCCCUGGAAGUGAUGCUGUGCUACUCCCAGGCAGAGCCUUUCAUGGGCCCGGUGGCUUUGCUUUCUGCCUCUUGGAAGCCGGCUACAAUGAAGGAAGUUUGUCUAUAUCCUGAGACCACUAUGCUGUGAGCAGCCCGUGAACCCACCGGAGAGGUCUUGCAGGAGGAA
rnacentral:lncRNA from 10 species